AUUGAACGCUGGCGGCAUGCCUUACACAUGCAAGUCGAACGGUAACAGGUCUUCGGAUGCUGACGAGUGGCGAACGGGUGAGUAAUACAUCGGAACGUGCCUAGUAGUGGGGGAUAACUACUCGAAAGAGUGGCUAAUACCGCAUGAGAUCUACGGAUGAAAGCAGGGAAUCGCAAGACCUUGUGCUACUAGAGCGGCCGAUGGCAGAUUAGGUAGUUGGUGGGAUAAAAGCUUACCAAGCCGACGAUCUGUAGCUGGUCUGAGAGGACGAUCAGCCACACUGGGACUGAGACACGGCCCAGACUCCUACGGGAGGCAGCAGUGGGGAAUUUUGGACAAUGGGCGCAAGCCUGAUCCAGCAAUGCCGCGGGCAGGAUGAAGGCCUUCGGGUUGUAAACUGCUUUUGUACGGAACGAAAAGCCCUGGGUUAAUACCCUGGGGUCAUGACGGUACCGUAAGAAUAAGCACCGGCUAACUACGUGCCAGCCGCCGCCGUAAAAC
rnacentral:rRNA from 1 species